rnacentral:rRNA from 1 species
AUACGGAGGAUCCGAGCGUUAUCCGGAUUUAUUGGGUUUAAAGGGUGCGCAGGCGGCCAUUUAAGUCAGCGGUUAAAUCGUGGGGCUCAACCCCAUUCUGCCGUUGAUACUGGGUGGCUUGAUUGCGGUCGAGGUUGGCGGAAUUCGUUGUGGAGCGGUGAAAUGCAUAGAUAUGACGAAGAACACCGAUUGCGUAGGCAGCUGACCAGACCGCAAAUGACGCUCAUGCACGAAAGUGCGGGGAUCGAACAGGCUUAGAUACCCUGGUAGUCCGCACAGUAAACGAUGAAUACUUGUUUUCGGCGAUAUAAUGUCGGAGGCAAAGCGAAAGCGAUAAGUAUUCCACCUGGGGAGUACGCCGGCAACGGUGAAACUCAAAUGAAUUGGCGGGG